rnacentral:rRNA from 1 species
AGCAGCCGCGGUAAUUCCAGCUCCAAUAGCGUAUAUUAAAGUUGUUGCAGUUAAAAAGCUCGUAGUUGAAUUUCGGGAUCAAAUUGUCGGUCGUGCCUCGGUACGCACUGGUAUUAUUGGUUCCUACCUUCUGAAGAACCGCGAUGUCAUUAAUUUGGUGUCGUGGGGAAUCAGGACUGUUACUUUGAAAAAAUUAGAGUGUUUAAAGCAGGCUUACGCUUGAAUACAUUAGCAUGGAAUAAUGAAAUAGGACGUUUGAUUCUAUUUUGUUGGUUUCUAGGAUUGACGUAAUGAUUAAUAGGGAUAGUUGGGGGCAUUAGUAUUCAAUUGUCAGAGGUGAAAUUCUUGGAUUUAUUGAAGACUAACUACUGCGAAAGCAUUUGCCAAGGAUGUUUUCAUUAAUCAAGAACGAAAGUUAGGGGAUCGAAGACGAUCAGAUACCGUCGUAGUCUUAACCAUAAACUAUGCCGACUAGGGAUCGGAUGAU